UGCCUUAAACACGGUCAUAAAUGAAAAUUGUUGUCCCUAUAUUUGGACACUAGUUCUGUUGUUAACUAUUGAGUUUUGAUGGAUGGGUUAGGUUGGAGAGAAUGAAGCCAUCAGAAGGCAAAACAGAGGGGUUCUUUUUUUUUUUUUUGCAUUGUUAUAAUGACUCGUGACUUCUGAUUUCUGACCUAUUUUAAUUUCAUCCAUUUAGAUUUGAAUCAAGGACUAACAUCACUCGAUCACUCAAAACUGAAGCUGCAGUUGGCUAUAGAUACCUGUGGACGUGUCAUGUAAUGCAGGAGCUAACAUCACUCGAUCUUUCUUGCUGCUUUUCCUCUCCAUUUGUCAUUUGAUUGUAUGUUAUCCAUCAAGUUUAAGUCUUACCGAUUUCGAAAGCGAGCAAGAAGUCGAGAAAGGGAGCGACGAGGGAGAAGGUAGAGCGAUUUCGAGGAGACAGAGGCCUCGGCGAUCCAAGUGCUUCUGCUGAGCAGGUAGACCAUAUUACUCCUCUCUGGUUUCUCGCUCCUCACGUCUCUCUCGUUUGCUGCUCCUCACUCCUUUCACGUUUCUGGAUUAUAUCGAUUCUAGGGUUUCAUCGCCCACUUGUCAUUCGUUGAUCUUUGCGUUGGAUUCUGAAGUUUUCUUCCGCCUCGUGUUUUCUUAUCCGUGGGUGAUUCUGGUCUGGUCUCUGAUUCCGGAAGGUUGGAUGGCCGAAAGAGAAACUGCUUUGGGGUCUAGCUACAUGCUUGUACAGACGAGUUUCAGAUCCUGAAUCCAAUUGGAGAAGGUUGUCACGAGUUUGUCUUUAGAGCCAAAGAUAAGACAAGUGGAGAAAUUGUGACUAUGAAGAUUAUUAAUCGAGUUGCUUGGGGAACCAACAACCAUUGGAAGAGGGAGAUCAACUAUCUGAUGUCACCCAUCUAUCAUAGAGUUUUAUGGAAGUUGCAAUGAAUUUUUUUGGUUAUAGAAUAGGUGGAAAAUGACCUCAUAAGUUUUAUGGAGAAGGGGGCAAUCAUUUUUCGAGAGUGAAAUCAAAGUUUUUAUGAUUCAGCUCUUGCAAGAUGUGAAUGAUAUUCAGAUAUUUAGAUAUAUAAACAUCAAACAUCCUACUGAACGAUUAUGGAAAGGUCAUGAUAUAUGAUGAUUUUGAAAUGUCGCAUGUUUCAAUUUUUGUCCUGUACAUCAUCAGUGGAUAUUUAUAAAACAUCAAACGUGUUAGUGGAAGCAAAGAAUUAUUUAUCCACUAUUAAUGUGUUC